rnacentral:rRNA from 1 species
GAUGAACGCUGGCGGCGUGCCUAAUACAUGCAAGUCGAGCGAACAGACGAGGAGCUUGCUCCUCUGACGUUAGCGGCGGACGGGUGAGUAACACGUGGAUAACCUACCUAUAAGACUGGGAUAACUUCGGGAAACCGGAGCUACUACCGGAUAAUAUAUUGAACCGCAUGGUUCAAUAGUGAAAGACGGUUUUGCUGCCACUUAUAGAUGGAUCCGCGCCGCAUUAGCUAGUUGGUAAGGUAACGGCUUACCAAGGCAACGAUGCGUAGCCGACCUGAGAGGGUGAUCGGCCACACUGGAACUGAGACACGGUCCAGACUCCUACGGGAGGCAGCAGUAGGGAAUCUUCCGCAAUGGGCGAAAGCCUGACGGAGCAACGCCGCGUGAGUGAUGAAGGUCUUCGGAUCGUAAAACUCUGUUAUUAGGGAAGAACAAAUGUGUAAGUAACUAUGCACGUCUUGACGGUACCUAAUCAGAAAGCCACGGCUAACUACGUG